GAUGAACGCUGGCGGCGUGCUUAACACAUGCAAGUCGAGCGAAGCGCUUUUGAAUUCUUCGGAAUAAAGAAGUGACUGAGCGGCGGACGGGUGAGUAGCGCGUGGGUAACCUGCCUUACACAGGGGGAUAACAGUUAGAAAUGACUGCUAAUACCGCAUAACCCGCUAGGAUCGCAGGAUCCGGACGGAAAAGAUUUAUCGGUGUAAGAUGGACCCGCGUCUGAUUAGCUAGUUGGUGAGGUAACGGCCCACCAAGGCAACGAUCAGUAGCCGACCUGAGAGGGUGAUCGGGCCACAUUGGGACUGAGACACGGGCCCAAACUCCUACGGGAGGCAGCAGUGGGGAAUAUUGCACAAUGGGGGAAACCCUGAUGCAGCAACGCCGCGUGAGUGAAGAAGUA
rnacentral:rRNA from 1 species